AGCUUUUUAUACUGUGGAUAGGGCAGCCAAUGGCGGCCCUAACCUGCGGGUAGGGCCCCUUGGCGUCCAUAAGGACGCUUGGCGGCAUGUCCAAGUAUUACAAAGCAUUAAAAGAUGAGUUUGUGUAAGAUUAGGUUGUUGGUAGAAAUAACAGUUUACCAAGCCUUUGAUCUUUAGUUGGUCUUAGAGGACGUACAACCACACUGGAACUGAGACAAGGUCCAGGCUAUUUUUGGCCAGCAGUGAGGAAUAUUGGACAAUGAACGAAAGUUUGAUCCAGCAAUAUUAUGUGAAUGAUUGACGGCUAAUUUUUGGUUGUAAAGUUCUUUCGUUAAAAAUGAUAAUGACGUUAUUUAAAGAAGUUUUAGUCCCGGCUAAUCUCGUGCCAGCAGCCGCGGUAAUACGGGAGGGGCAAGCGUUAUCCAUAAUUACUGGGCGUACAGAGUCCGUAGAUUGUAAUAUAAGUUAUAUGUUAAAAUUUAAAGCUCAACUUUAAAAAAAGAUAAAAUACUGUCUUACUUGAGUUUAAUACAGAAAAGCAGAAUUUCGUGUUAAGGAGUAAAUUCCAAAAAUACAUGAAGGAAUAUCAUUAGCGAAAGCGGCUUUUUAGUACAAACUGACAUUGAGGGACGAAAGUGUAGGGAGCGAACAGGAUUAGAUACCCUGGUAGUCUACACUGUAAAUUCUGAGUGCUGUAAUUUAAGAAAAAUCUUAGAUUUUUUAAGCUAACGCUAUAAGCAUUCCGCCUGAGGAGUAUGAUUGCAAGAUUGGAACUCAAAGGAAUUGACGGGAGCCUACAACGAGUGGUGGAGCAUGUGGUUUAAUGCGAUAAUCCGCGCAAAACCUUACCAACCCUUGACAUAUUGAAUGUUUUAUUUGCCAUAAAUAAGAUUUAAGAAUAAAGUUUUAUUCUUUAAUUAAACGUUCACUACAGGUGUUGCACGACUGUCGUCAGCUCGUGUCGUGAGAUGUUUGGUUCAUUCCUUUUAACGAGCGCAACUCUUAUUUUUAAGAAUUUACUUUUAAUUUUUAAAAAACUAUACCGCACGUCCCGCAGAACUUUCGAUCCGGACGUGAGGCAGUUUUUAAAAUUUUGCUUUAAAAAGACCGUGAAGCUAUAAAUAAAAUUUCAAAGGAAGGUGAGAAUCAAGUCAAGUCACUGUGGCCCUUAUGGGUUGGGCUACACACGU
rnacentral:rRNA from 1 species